rnacentral:rRNA from 1 species
UACGUAGGGUGCAAGCGUUGUCCGGAAUUAUUGGGCGUAAAGAGCUCGUAGGCGGUCUGUUGCGUCUGCUGUGAAAACUCAGGGCUUAACCCUGAGCCUGCAGUGGGUACGGGCAGACUAGAGUGUGGUAGGGGAGAUCGGAAUUCCUGGUGUAGCGGUGGAAUGCGCAGGAUAUCAGGAGGAACACCGGUGGCGAAGGCGGAUCUCUGGGCCAUAACUGACGCUGAGGAGCGAAAGCAUGGGGAGCGAACAGG